GCAGUUAAGCACAUAUAACAUGUACAUAAAAUAGUAAGCAAAAAUUAUUUAAGAUCUAUAAGUGAAGGAGACCGAGCAAGGAAUAAAACUAUAGUUCUAACUCGAACUAGUUGAAAUAAGAGUGUGAAAAUUGAGUCAUUUGGAAGCAGUCCAAUACUUCAUCAAAACAGGAGAACAUUCAAUUUUUAAACAUAAAUAAGCACACCAUAAGAAUAAAUCCA
rnacentral:lncRNA from 1 species